AUGUAUCACAUUAUAUACAGAAAAGGACCUUUCAACCAACAAGGUAUAUACUACUUUUUAGUUUGCAUAUUAAUGGGUUUGCCAAUGAGGUCGAGUGUGCUUUUUAUAGUUGCCCUUGUGCCGAUGCUCUUGCUAGCAUGGCCUGCAGCACAAGAAGUUGUCCAUGGUCAAGAGGCCUUGGGGCAAUGCCUCACAGUUUGCUUCCAAGAAAUGACUUCAUGCAUGGAUUGGUGUUCCGACAGAAGCCAAGCACCAGAUGCGGAUGAAAAUUGCUAUAAUGAAUGCAUCGAUUAUAACAACUUCUGCAUGGACAACUGCACUGGCUGA
rnacentral:lncRNA from 1 species